rnacentral:rRNA from 1 species
GACGAACGCUGGCGGCGUGCUUAACACAUGCAAGUCGAACGGAAAGGCCCUGCUUGUGUGGGGUUCUCGAGUGGCGAACGGGUGAGUAACACGUGAGUAACCUGCCCUUGACUUUGGGAUAACUUCAGGAAACUGGGGCUAAUACCGGAUAGGAGCUCCUGCUGCAUGGUGGGGGUUGGAAAUUUUCGGCGGUUGGGGAUGGACUCGCGGCUUAUCAGCUUGUUGGUGGGGGAGUGGCUUACCAAGGCUUUGACGGGUAGCCGGCCUGAGAGGGUGACCGGCCACAUUGGGACUGAGAUACGGCCCAGACUCCUACGGGAGGCAGCAGUGGGGAAUAUUGCACAAUGGGCGGAAGCCUGAUGCAGCAACGCCGCGUGCGGGAUGACGGCCUUCGGGUUGUAAACCGCUUUCGCCUGUGACGAAGCGUGAGUGACGGUAAUGGGUAAAGAAGCACCGGCUAACUACGUG